AAAAAAAAAGUGAAACAAAUGGCAAAAGAUUUGCCAUAUUUCCUAGCAAAAGUGCGGUAUUUGGUUAAGUCACAAGCGCGUCUGCCUAUAAGGAUUAACCACCAUACAUUGACCAUUGUCCAACCAACAAGAACUGUUAGAGACUGCUCGCUGCUUGGUUUCUGAUUUCCCAAACCUGUGCGUGGCUGUUUACCAAAGGACCUGGAUAGCAGGGAUCAAGUGGGGGUGCCGUGGGUGCCAUGACGCCCCCUCCAAAGUCGUAAAAUAAAUUUUACUAUGUACCUAACACUAAAUAUCCGUUCACUUGUUUAUUUUCAGACCAUUUGUUGAGAUAAUGAUGAUGUUUAGAGUAAACUUUAAACUGUGGCACCCCAAGCCUGCAAUUCUAUGUCGGGCCACCGCUGGGUAGUGCAGGCCAAAUCCUUUUGGCUACAUAUACAGUACAGAAGGAACAGGUGAAGCACUGGGAGUCUGGGACUGGGUAGAGCCUCGAUGUUAUCUCCUCAGUUUCUUUGUUCGUUUAUCUCCUCUCAAGGUUAUGCCUAGUGAUUAUAAUCUUGUUAUUGAGACAUUAAUCAGAGGAACACUUGCCCUCUAGGCCCCUAUCACACACACCGGUCUACUGCUGUCAUCGCCAGAGUUAUCCGACAGCAAGGAUCACCGAGUGUCAGCGGUUGCAAGCAUGGACAGCAAAGCAUAACUUCAGAGAUUCAGUAGCCACAAGCACAAUGAGACUGCCAGGUUUAACAUCUGUACAUAUACAGUUUGGCACUGCACAUUCAUUCGUCUCCACGGCUAGAAACAUGCCACUCCUGUCCUCAUCUAUCAACACUUCCAUCUCUGAGGCUUGGCUGUUGCCUGCAGCUGUAGGUCACGGCACCCGACCGACACCAGCCACAGUUGAAAAAUCCAAUGAACAUCACUUGUGGGAUAUUCUAGUAUCGCAGUAAAUAGAUGCCACUCCAGUGUGUCAGUUCAGAUGUUCAGUUUAUCGGAGUAUACUAAGUUUUACUAUGAUUCAGAAAAUGCUAGUACUGUUUGUUUUCCUAUGUAGAAUCUCACAAAACAAAAAAUGCACCAAUAAAAAUGGAUGGCUAAUCUCUACAUCGUCAGCUUAGAAACAGCAUUGUACCACAGCAUCAAAUGACGAUGCUGCUUUAUUAUCAAAGCAUAAGGAAAUCUUCAGGUUCAGCACCACCAAGCAAAAAAAAAGACAACAGAGCAAACGGGAACAUGUUUCAACAAAGAACAAAUUAAAAACAGUUCAUCUUCAUCACAUUUCACAGGAAACGAACAAGGCAGACGCAACUCAGCGCCCUACCAACAGCAAAUCCUCUCCGGAGUUCAGGUCCACUGCAAAAACUCCAAGCCUUUCUUUUCAUCUCCGCCUCAC
rnacentral:lncRNA from 1 species